rnacentral:rRNA from 1 species
UGCCAGCAGCCGCGGUAAUACGGAGGGUCCAAGCGUUAUCCGGAUUUAUUGGGUUUAAAGGGUCCGUAGGCGGGACAUUAAGUCAGUGGUGAAAUCCCAGAGCUCAACUCUGGAACUGCCAUUGAAACUGAUGUUCUUGAAUCUGGUUGAAGUGGGCGGAAUGUGUAGUGUAGCGGUGAAAUGCAUAGAUAUUACACAGAACACCGAUUGCGAAGGCAGCUCACUAAGCCAGUAUUGACGCUCAGGGACGAAAGCGUGGGGAGCGAACAGGAUUAGAUA